rnacentral:rRNA from 1 species
GUGCCAGCAGCCGCGGUAACACCGGCGCCACGAGUGGUCAUCACGAUUAUUGGGCCUAAAGCGUCCGUAGCUGGUGCGGUGCAUCCCUUGUGAAAUUGUUCGGCUUAACCGAACAGCGUGCAGGGGACACGGCCGCGCUCGAGACCGGGAGGGGUCAGAAGUAUUCCAUGGGGACCGGUAAAAUGGGAUAAUCCAUGGAGGACUACCGAUGGCGAAGGCAUCUGACCAGAACGGAUCUGACAGUGAGGGACGAAAGCCAGGGGAGCGAACCGGAUUAGAAACCCCAGUAGUCC